UACGUAGGGUGCGAGCGUUGUCCGGAAUUACUGGGCGUAAAGAGCUCGUAGGUGGUUUGUCGCGUUGUCCGUGAAAACUCACAACUCAAUUGUGGGCGUGCGGGCGAUACGGGCAGACUGGAGUACUGCAGGGGAGACUGGAAUUCCUGGUGUAGCGGUGGAAUGCGCAGAUAUCAGGAGGAACACCGAUGGCGAAGGCAGGUCUCUGGGCAUUAACUGACGCUGAGGAGCGAAAGCGUGGGGAGCGAACAGG
rnacentral:rRNA from 1 species